GCGGACGUAUUGGAGACUAAAAAAACGCAGAGGCCCUUGCCUCUUGCUAUCAGUCGCAGGUUCGACUCCUGCCGUCCGCCA
rnacentral:tRNA from 1 species